GACGAACCGUGCGAACGUUGUUCGGAAUCACUGGGCUUAAAGGGUGCGUAGGCGGCUUUGUAAGUCGGGUGUGAAAUCCCUCGGCUCAACCGAGGAAUUGCGCCCGAAACUGCUCGGCUUGAGGGAGAUAGGGGCGCGUGGAACUUCGGGUGGAGCGGUGAAAUGCGUUGAGAUCCGAAGGAACACCGGUGGCGAAGGCGACGCGCUGGGUCUCUUCUGACGCUGAGGCACGAAAGCUAGGGUAGCGAACGGG
rnacentral:rRNA from 1 species